rnacentral:rRNA from 1 species
UACAGAGGGGGCAAGCGUUGCUCGGAAUUACUGGGCGUAAAGGGCGCGUAGGCGGCCCGCUAAGUCGAACGUGAAAUCCCUGGGCUCAACCCAGGAACUGCGUCCGAUACUGGCAGGCUUGAAUCCGGGAGAGGGAUGCGGAAUUCCAGGUGUAGCGGUGAAAUGCGUAGAUAUCAGGAAGAACAUCGGUGGCGAAGGCGCUCUGCUGGACCAUAACUGACACUCAGGGACGAAAGCUAGGGGAGCGAAUGGG